rnacentral:tRNA from 2 species
CUUUAGCUCAGUUGGUAGAGCAACUGACUCUUAAUCAGUGGGUCCCGGGUUCGAGUCCCUGAA